GACGAACGCUGGCGGCGUGCUUAACACAUGCAAGUCGAACGAUGAAGCACCAGCUUGCUGGUGUGGAUUAGUGGCGAACGGGUGAGUAACACGUGAGUAACCUGCCCCUCACUCUGGGAUAAGCCUGGGAAACUGGGUCUAAUACUGGAUACGACCGAUCUCCGCAUGGAGUGUUGGUGGAAAGUUUUUUUGGUGGGGGAUGGACUCGCGGCCUAUCAGCUUGUUGGUGGGGUAGUGGCCUACCAAGGCGACGACGGGUAGCCGGCCUGAGAGGGCGACCGGCCACACUGGGACUGAGACACGGCCCAGACUCCUACGGGAGGCAGCAGUGGGGAAUAUUGCACAAUGGGCGAAAGCCUGAUGCAGCGACGCCGCGUGAGGGAUGACGGCCUUCGGGUUGUAAACCUCUUUCACCAGGGACGAAGCUAACGUGACGGUACCUGGAGAAGAAGCACCGGCUAACUACGUG
rnacentral:rRNA from 1 species